GAGUUUGAACCUGGCUCAGGAUAAACGCUGGCGGCGCACAUAAGACAUGCAAGUCGAACGAACUUAACCUCUUGCUUGCAAGAGGAGCGGUUAGUGGCGGACUGGUGAGUAACACGUAAGAAAUCUGCCUAUCAGAGGGGAAUAACAGUGAGAAAUCAUUGCUAAUACCGCAUAUGCCGUAGUUAUCGCAUGAUAAUAGUGGGAAAGGAGCAAUCCGCUGAUAGAUGAGCUUGCGUCUGAUUAGCUAGUUGGUGGGGUAACGGCCUACCAAGGCGACGAUCAGUAGCCGGACUGAGAGGUUGAACGGCCACAUUGGGACUGAGAUACGGCCCAGACUCCUACGGGAGGCAGCAGUCGGGAAUAUUGCGCAAUGGAGGAAACUCUGACGCAGUGACGCCGCGUAUAGGAAGAAGGUUUUCGGAUUGUAAACUAUUGUCCACAGGGAAGAAAAAAGACUGUACCUGUGAAGAAAGCUCC
rnacentral:rRNA from 1 species